AGUGGCGAACGGGUGAGUAAUAUAUCGGAACGUGCCCUAGAGUGGGGGAUAACGUAGCGAAAGUUACGCUAAUACCGCAUACGAUCUACGGAUGAAAGUGGGGGAUCGCAAGACCUCAUGCUCAUGGAGCGGCCGAUAUCUGAUUAGCUAGUUGGUGGGGUAAAAGCCUACCAAGGCGACGAUCAGUAGCUGGUCUGAGAGGACGACCAGCCACACUGGGACUGAGACACGGCCCAGACUCCUACGGGAGGCAGCAGUGGGGAAUUUUGGACAAUGGGGGCAACCCUGAUCCAGCAAUGCCGCGUGUGUGAAGAAGGCCUUCGGGUUGUAAAGCACUUUUGUCAGGAACGAAACGGUGGAGGCUAAUACCUUCUGCUAAUGACGGUACCUGAAGAAUAAGCACCGGCUAACUACGUGCCAGCAGCCGCGGUAAUACGUAGGAUGCGAGCGUUAAUCGGAAUUACUGGGCGUAAAGCGUGCGCAGGCGGUUGUGCAAGACAGAUGUGGAAUCCCCGGGCUCAACCUGGGAAUUGCAUUUGUGACUGCACGGCUAGAGUGUGUCAGAGGGGGGUAGAAUUCCACGUGUAGCAGUGAAAUGCGUAGAUAUGUGGAGGAAUACCGAUGGCGAAGGCAGCCCCCUGGGAUAACACUGACCCUCAUGCACGAAAGCGUGGGGAGCAAACAGGAUUACAUACCCCGG
rnacentral:rRNA from 1 species